rnacentral:rRNA from 1 species
GCAGUCGAGGGGUAUAGUCUUCGGAUUUAGAGACCGGCGCACGGGUGCGUAACGCGUAUGCAAUCUACCUUUUACAGAGGGAUAGCCCAGAGAAAUUUGGAUUAAUACCUCAUAGCAUAGCAGCUUCGCAUGAAGCCACUAUUAAAGUCACAACGGUAAAAGAUGAGCAUGCGUCCCAUUAGCUAGUUGGUAAGGUAACGGCUUACCAAGGCUACGAUGGGUAGGGGUCCUGAGAGGGAGAUCCCCCACACUGGUACUGAGACACGGACCAGACUCCUACGGGAGGCAGCAGUGAGGAAUAUUGGACAAUGGGCGCAAGCCUGAUCCAGCCAUGCCGCGUGCAGGAUGACGGUCCUAUGGAUUGUAAACUGCUUUUAUACGAGAAGAAACACUCCGACGUGUCGGAGCUUGACGGUAUCGUAAGAAUAAGGAUCGGCUAACUCCGUGCCAGCAGCCGCGGUAAUACGGAGGAUCCAAGCGUUAUCCGGAAUCAUUGGGUUUAAAGGGUCCGUAGGCGGUUUGGUAAGUCAGUGGUGAAAGCCCAUCGCUCAACGGUGGAACGGCCAUUGAUACUGCCAGACUUGAAUUAUUAGGAAGUAACUAGAAUAUGUAGUGUAGCGGUGAAAUGCUUAGAGAUUACAUGGAAUACCAAUUGCGAAGGCAGGUUACUACUAAUUGAUUGACGCUGAUGGACGAAAGCGUGGGUAGCGAACAGGAUUAGAUACCCUGGUAGUCCACGCCGUANACGAUGGAUACUAGCUGUUGGGAGCAAUCUCAGUGGCUAAGCGAAAGUGAUAAGUAUCCCACCUGGGGAGUACGUUCGCAAGAAUGAACUCAAAGGAAUUGACGGGGGCCCGCACAAGCGGUGGAGCAUGUGGUUUAAUUCGAUGAUACGCGAGGAACCUU